rnacentral:rRNA from 1 species
UACAGAGGUGGCUAGCGUUGUUCGGAAUUACUGGGCGUAAAGGGAGCGCAGGCGGCUAAAUUAGUCUGAAGUGCAAGCCCGGGGCUCAACCCCGGAAUUGCUUUGGAUACUGUUUGGCUUGAGUACGUCAGAGGUGAGCGGAAUUCCAGGUGUAGCGGUGAAAUGCGUAGAUAUCUGGAGGAACAUCGGUGGCGAAAGCGGCUCACUGGGACGACACUGACGCUGAGGCUCGAAAGCGUGGGGAGCGAACGG